UACGGAGGGUGCAAGCGUUAUCCGGAUUCACUGGGUUUAAAGGGUGCGUAGGCGGACUGGUAAGUCCGUGGUGAAAUCCCCGAGCUUAACUUGGGAACUGCCAUGGAUACUAUUAGUCUUGAAUGUCGUGGAGGUUUGCGGAAUAUGUCAUGUAGCGGUGAAAUGCUUAGAGAUGACAGAGAACACCAAUUGCGAAGGCAGCAGGCUACACGAUUAUUGACGCUGAGGCACGAGAGCGUGGGGAUCAAACAGG
rnacentral:rRNA from 1 species